UACGUAGGGUGCAAGCGUUUGUCCGGAAUUAUUGGGCGUAAAGAGCUCGUAGGCGGUGUGUCGCGUCGGUCGUGAAAACUUGGGGCUUAAACCCUGAGCUUGCGGUCGAUACGGGCAUGACUGGAGUUCGGCAGGGGAGACUGGAAAUUCCUGGUGUAGCGGUGAAAUGCGCAGAUAUCAGGAGGAACACCGGUGGCGAAGGCGGGUCUCUGGGCCGAUACUGACGCUGAGGAGCGAAAGCGUGGGGAGCAACAGG
rnacentral:rRNA from 1 species